UAGCCCUUACCCCCCCGACUAG
rnacentral:miRNA from 1 species